CAGGAGCUGCAGCUCUGCGGGAGAGCUGAGCAGCAGGGUCAAUGAUGGUGGUUUGGCUGGCUGCAAUGAUGUGAGGGGAGAGAGAGAGUCCAGACAGCAGUAUGACUGAGAGUCAGCACUGUGUGGAGUUUGGAUUAUAAGCCGCCCUAUUCUCGAUAUCCAUCUAUUGACAAAAGUGGGGGACUAGAUUUGCUGAACAAAAGUACGACAAGCCACAGGCACAAAACAAAAGCCAAAUGAUAAAGCUAUAGAGAAUAUCAGCUUGACUUGGAUGCACUAAAAAGAGUAAAGGAAGAUCAUCAGUUGGCUCAGAGGCUCCUUGACAACAACCCUCUUUUCUAUGGAUGGGCAUUUCUACAUCUAACCGAUGCACAGCUGGAUACUGGCUUGUUGAGGUUGUUGCCUAUUCCUGACUGGCACACAAUUAGGGUACUUAUAUGCAACGAUAACAGGAGACAGAAAAGCAGGAGCGGCAGAAACAGCAUGUUACAGACCAAAUCAAGAAUCUGCACGAAAACGUGCCUGAGUUGCAGCAGAGUCUGUCAAUCCCAGAUCAACCUCAUCAGCCAUCUUCAGACCCACAGAUAA
rnacentral:lncRNA from 1 species